AUUCCAGCUCCAAUAGCGUAUAUUAAAGUUGUUGCAGUUAAAAAGCUCGUAGUUGGAUUUCUGGUCUGAUGCCCUGGCCCGCCUCAAUUUCGAGGUGAGUGCCGGCUGUGCGUCUACCAUCCUUCUAGAAAACGUUCCUACCCUUCACUGGGCCGGGUUCGCGAUCUAGAUCUUUUACUUUGAAAAAAUUAGAGUGUUUAAAGCAGGCUUUUGCUAUGAAUACAUUAGCAUGGAAUAAUAAUCUAGGACUUCGGUUCUAUUUUGUUGGUUUCUAGUACUGAAGUAAUGAUUGAUAGGGAUAGUUGGGGGUGCUAGUAUUGAGCGGCCAGAGGUGAAAUUCUUGGAUUCGCUCAAGACUAACUUAUGCGAAAGCAUUCACCAAGGAUGUCUUCAUUG
rnacentral:rRNA from 1 species